rnacentral:rRNA from 1 species
GACGAACGCUGGCGGCGUGCUUAACACAUGCAAGUCGAACGGUGAAGCAGAGCUUGCUCUGUGGAUCAGUGGCGAACGGGUGAGUAACACGUGAGUAACCUGCCCUUGACUCUGGGAUAAGCGUUGGAAACGACGUCUAAUACCGGAUACGAGCUGAGACCGCAUGGUCAUCAGUUGGAAAGAUUUUUUGGUCGAGGAUGGACUCGCGGCCUAUCAGCUUGUUGGUGAGGUAAUGGCUCACCAAGGCGACGACGGGUAGCCGGCCUGAGAGGGUGACCGGCCACACUGGGACUGAGACACGGCCCAGACUCCUACGGGAGGCAGCAGUGGGGAAUAUUGCACAAUGGGCGCAAGCCUGAUGCAGCAACGCCGCGUGAGGGAUGACGGCCUUCGGGUUGUAAACCUCUUUUAGUAGGGAAGAAGCGAAAGUGACGGUACCUGCAGAAAAAGCACCGGCUAACUACGUG